AACGAACGCUGGCGGCAGGCUUAACACGUGCAAGUCGAGCGCCCCGCAAGGGGAGCGGCAGACGGGUGAGUAACGCGUGGGAACGUACCCUUUGCUACGGAAUAGCUCCGGGAAACUGGAAUUAAUACCGUAUGUGCCCUACGGGGGAAAGAUUUAUCGGCAAAGGAUCGGCCCGCGUUGGAUUAGCUAGUUGGUAGGGUAAUGGCCUACCAAGGCGACGAUCCAUAGCUGGUCUGAGAGGAUGAUCAGCCACAUUGGGACUGAGACACGGCCCAAACUCCUACGGGAGGCAGCAGUGGGGAAUAUUGGACAAUGGGCGCAAGCCUGAUCCGGCCAUGCCGCGUGAGUGAUGAAGGCCUUAGGGUUGUAAAGCUCUUUCACCGGAGAAGAUAAUGACGGUAUCCGGAGAAGAAGCCCCGGCUAACUUCGUGCCAGCCGCCGCCGUAACAC
rnacentral:rRNA from 1 species